rnacentral:rRNA from 1 species
CCUACGGGAGGCAGCAGUGGGGAAUAUUGCACAAUGGGGGAAACCCUGAUGCAGCGACGCCGCGUGAGCGAUGAAGUAUUUCGGUAUGUAAAGCUCUAUCAGCAGGGAAGAAAAUGACGGUACCUGACUAAGAAGCCCCGGCUAACUACGUGCCAGCAGCCGCGGUAAUACGUAGGGGGCAAGCGUUAUCCGGAUUUACUGGGUGUAAAGGGAGCGUAGACGGCGGUUCAAGCCAGAUGUGAAAGCCCGGGGCUCAACUCCGGGACUGCAUUUGGAACUGUGCUGCUCGAGUGUCGGUG